rnacentral:rRNA from 1 species
GUGGGGAAUAUUGCACAAUGGGCGCAAGCCUGAUGCAGCAACGCCGCGUGAGGGAUGACGGCCUUCGGGUUGUAAACCUCUUUUAGUAGGGAAGAAGCGAAAGUGACGGUACCUGCAGAAAAAGCACCGGCUAACUACGUGCCAGCAGCCGCGGUAAUACGUAGGGUGCAAGCGUUGUCCGGAAUUAUUGGGCGUAAAGAGCUCGUAGGCGGCUUGUCGCGUCUGCUGUGAAAACCCGAGGCUCAACCUCGGGCCUGCAGUGGGUACGGGCAGGCUAGAGUGCGGUAGGGGAGAUUGGAAUUCCUGGUGUAGCGGUGGAAUGCGCAGAUAUCAGGAGGAACACCGAUGGCGAAGGCAGAUCUCUGGGCCGUAACUGACGCUGAGGAGCGAAAGCAUGGGGAGCGAACAGGAUUAGAAACCCUUGUAGUCC